AUUGAACGCUGGCGGCAUGCCUAACACAUGCAAGUCGAGCGAGCGGCGGACGGGUGAGUAGUGUCCGGGAAACUGCCUGAUGGAGGGGGAUAACUACUGGAAACGGUAGCUACUACCGCAUACCAUCAGAUUUGACCAGAUGGGGUUAGCUAGUAGGUGGGGUAAUGGCUCACCUAGGCGACGAUCCCUAGCUGGUCUGCGAGGAUGACCAGCCAAACUGGAGCUGGAACACGGUCCAGACUCCUACGGAGGGCGGAGGUGGGGAAUAUUGCACAAUGGGGGCAAGCCUUAUGCAGCCAUGCGGCUUGGUUGAAGAAGGCUUUAGGGUUGUAAAGUACGUUCAGCGGGGAGGCGUUACCUGCAGAGGAAGCACCGGCUAACUCCGUGCCAGCAGCCGCGGUAAUUC
rnacentral:rRNA from 1 species